CCUAUGUCGGAUUAGCUAGUUGGUGAGGUAAUGGCUCACCAAGGCAGCGAUCCGUAGCUGGUCUGAGAGGAUGAUCAGCCACAUCGGGACUGAGACACGGCCCGAACUCCUACGGGAGGCAGCAGUGGGGAAUAUUGGACAAUGGGGGCAACCCUGAUCCAGCCAUGCCGCGUGUGUGAAGAAGGCCCUCGGGUUGUAAAGCACUUUCAGCGAGGAAGAACGCCUAGUGGUUAAUACCCAUUAGGAAAGACAUCACUCGCAGAAGAAGCACCGGCUAACUCCGUGCCAGCAGCCGCGGUAAUACGGAGGGUGCAAGCGUUAAUCGGAAUUACUGGGCGUAAAGCGCGCGUAGGUGGCUUGAUAAGCCGGUUGUGAAAGCCCCGGGCUCAACCUGGGAACGGCAUCCGGAACUGUCAGGCUAGAGUGCAGGAGAGGAAGGUAGAAUUCCCGGUGUAGCGGUGAAAUGCGUAGAGAUCGGGAGGAAUACCAGUGGCGAAGGCGGCCUUCUGGACUGACACUGACACUGAGGUGCGAAAGCGUGGGUAGCAAACAGGAUUAGAUACCCUGGUAGUCCACGCCGUAAACGAUGUCGACCAGCCGUUGGGUGCCUAGCGCACUUUGUGGCGAAGUUAACGCGAUAAGUCGACCGCCUGGGGAGUACGGCCGCAAGGUUAAAACUCAAAUGAAUUGACGGGGGCCCGCACAAGCGGUGGAGCAUGUGGUUUAAUUCGAUGCAACGCGAAGAACCUUACCUACCCUUGACAUCGACAGAAGCCGAGAGAGAUCUUGGUGUGCCUUCGGGAACUGUCAGACAGGUGCUGCAUGGCUGUCGUCAGCUCGUGUUGUGAAAUGUUGGGUUAAGUCCCGUAACGAGCGCAACCCUUGUCCUUAUUUGCCAGCGCGUAAUGGCGGGAACUCUAAGGAGACUGCCGGUGACAAACCGGAGGAAGGUGGGGACGACGUCAAGUCAUCAUGGCCCUUACGGGUAGGGCUACACACGUGCUACAAUGGCCGGUACAAAGGGCAGCGAGCUCGCGAGAGUCAGCGAAUCCCUUAAAGCCGGUCUCAGUCCGGAUCGGAGUCUGCAACUCGACUCCGGAAGUCGGAAUCGCUAGUAAUCGGAAUCAGA
rnacentral:rRNA from 1 species